AUGUUCUAUUACGGGCUAGAUUUCCACGAUCUAGCCCCGGACUCCUUUCUCCACAUCUCGGCAUUUAUUGUCGUAUGUGAGGCCUUCCUCCGCAUUACCCCUCACUUCGGCCUGUGGCUCAAGACCUUUUACGUGAAGCCGAAGAUGGUCGAGGGGCAGCAUGUAGCGUGCGGAGGCGCAUUAAUAAGCAAGAUCGCUGGAGCUCCAUGGCCAAAGGGUUCAUUUCUAGAGGUGUCCGGAUUAUGGCAACGGGAGUGGUUUUACAUCAUAGCUCCCAGAAGUGCCAAGUGGGUGGCUGCCCCUGCUUUCCGCUCGGGCCCUCCACCACAACUGAUGUCAUGGAUUAGCAUAGGGCUGAGCUGGGGUCCAGCCAAGGACGUGCCUAUAUUGCAGAGCCGUAUUCAAGAUCUCUUCGAAGGAGAUUUCAAUCAGGUUACGGUGGUGCAAGUCAUGCUGGUUUGUCGAGUCCAGCCUUGCAAACGUCGGCCCCUCCGCAUGUGGGAGCUCAACCCAGAAGGAUCGUGCACUAUUCACAAUUUCCUCGGCCUGACGCACGAGGAGAUGUAUAAAUCAUUCUUUGGACCCCAAAUAGAGUGUCCGGAUACUACCGAGGACGUGGGCCUGAGCAGCAACCGCACCACCGACCAAGUAAGUAAUCCUCUAGACGAACACACCGUCUUUCAUUUAUCAUGA
rnacentral:rRNA from 1 species